UCUCUAUAAAAAGCCUACGGUUGAUGGGAGAGCCCGGUCUGUAUGGGAAGCGACUUUGGAGAAGAGGGAACGACAGCGUCUGAGCGCGAAGACGAGCGUGGCACAGAUUUUGCCUCUUGACAAGUUCUCGUGUUGGUAAAGAGACUGCGAGUUUAGAGAAAGGACAGACAUAUUUCUACAGCGAGGAGCCGCAGCCGUGGCCGCACAUGGGAACUUUGACUAAGAUGCAGGUUCCCACAAGGGGAGUGCCUGUCCCUCUCACCAUCUCUCCCCCAUCCUCCUAAACUGGCCAGAGCAUCAGCACCUUGGCUUUAGACUGCUUACUGCUUAUACAGUAUCACAGUACAGUAACAGUCUACAGUCAUGGCUACUGAAGCCUGGCAAUGCACAAAAUGCCACACUGAAGACAAGAUGGACAUGUGGAGGCUAUGUUGUAGUGAUGUCAUCCUGAGGGAAAAAUAACACCAUCCUCAGUGCUUUUAAAAUGGUUGACUUGAUAGUUGAGAUUUCUGUGUGUCUCUCCUGGUCUGUCUCUUUUCUCUGGCUCAGAAAGGAAACCUGUGUGGGCUUGCAUUGGGGGAGUCCUACACCAUCUAAGUGCGUAAUAUCCACGCUGGAACCAAUGAAACCUCACAGUUCUCCAGUUUCCAGUUACCAUGCCAACACCCUGCUCCUCCUCUACCCUGCUGUCUCCAUGGCGACCGUGGCUUUAGAUUGUUACUCUAGCAACAGCUCCAUGGUAACAGUCUACAGCCAUGGUCGUUAGGGGCAGUCACCAUCAGGAAAGAAAGAAAAAGUUCGGUUAUAGCUGAUAAUUAAGUUUGCAUUUAUCUUUUGAAAUUCUCCUCUCAUUUAGAAAAUAGGUCAAAGGUCGUCCACUCAGUGUACACUAUAGACUGAGGGAGAAGAGUUGUUUUACUUUUUAAUGGCUGGAAGUUCUUUGAUAAGAUACCAAAAUGUUUUUUUCAUUUGAUUACACAUAUAAUGUUGUAAUUCUAUGUAAUAAUACACAUAAUGUAACCUAUCUAUUAAUCAAAGAAAGUUUAACAAUCAAGUAUGCAAUAACACAUAUGGACACACACCGCUUUUCACUUUUAUUUUAUUAGGUGUAAUGUGUUUCAGUAAGGUUUGAUCUUUGAACAGAGUAAUAAAUGCAAAGAGCACAUGCUGAACGAAUGAGUCAGCCCGCUCCAACACCUGUUCCUGCUCUCUGUUUAUCAGACAAGAGCAGCCUCACUUCAAAGCAGCACAGCCAGGAAUUCCCAGUGGGCAGUGCUGUAACCUGCAGGCAGACACAAACCACACACCAUGGAUCCUACACAGGUGGGCUAACCUGCAUGUAUGCAUGCUCACAUACAGACACACACACACAUACAGUGUGCUCGCAAAAAGCCACAAAUGAUGUGUCUUGCCCCGAUCCACUCUUCUUCAAGCACGACUAAUAUCCAGAGUUAUUCUGCCCUCUACAGGUCAGGAUGUGUCUGUGUCAUCUGCUUAUAUGAAAGGUAGUAAACUUUUUUCAAGCUGAAUUGUGCCUGAUUUAAUAAAGUCAAAUAAAAAAUUCAAAACAUUU